rnacentral:rRNA from 1 species
CGCAGCCGCGGUAAUUCCAGCUCCAAUAGCGUAUAUUAAAGUUGUUGCAGUUAAAAAGCUCGUAGUUGAAUUUCGGGAUCAAUAUUUCGGUCAUGCCGUUGGUAUGCACUGUUAUCAUUGAUUUCUCACCUUCUAAAGAACCGUAAUGCCAUUAAUUUGGUGUUACGGGGAAUUAGGACUGUUACCUUGAAAAAAUUAGAGUGUUUAAAGCAGGCUCACGCUUGAAUACAUUAGCAUGGAAUAAUGAAAUAGGACGUUUGAUUCUAUUUUGUUGGUUUCUAGGAUCGACGUAAUGAUUAAUAGGGAUAGUUGGGGGCAUUAGUAUUCAAUUGUCAGAGGUGAAAUUCUUGGAUUUAUUGAAGACUAACUACUGCGAAAGCAUUUGCCAAGGAUGUUUCAUUAAUCAAGAACGAAAGUUAGGGGAUCGAAGACGAUCAGAUACCGUCGUAGUCUUAACCAUAAACUAUGCCGACUAGGGAUCGGAUGAUGUUGUAUUUUUUAAUGUAC